UACGUAGGGGGCUAGCGUUGUCCGGAAUCAUUGGGCGUAAAGCGCGUGUAGGCGGUCCGGUAAGUCCGCUGUGAAAGUCGGGGGCUACAACCCUCGAAUGCCGGUGGAUACUCGUCGGGCUAGAGUGCGGAAGAGGCGAGUGGAAGUUCCUGGUGAUAGGCGGUGAAAUGACGCAGAUAUCAGGAGGAACACCAAUUGCGAAGGCAGCUCGCUGGGACGUUACUGACGCUGAGACGCGAAAGCGUGGGGAGCAAACAGG
rnacentral:rRNA from 1 species